AUCCAUUCCUGUUGCUGAAUACGAGCAUCACAAUUGGGGAAACCAAUAAUACUGCGAAUUGGAAUAAUGGUUCCAACCAUAGUGGAAGUUUCAACUCUUCCGUCCCGACAACUACCAAUUUAACGAUUUCGACUUUUCCAGUUGUAGCAGCAAGAAAACGGAAAAUGUGGAGCACCUAUGACACAAUUGGAUUAUAUGCAUGCAGAAUUACUAAAUUACUUAAGAAGAAUAAUUUCUUUCAUGAUCGAGAUCUUUCUACUAUUAAUAAUAUCAUAUCGAGGAAAUUUGAUUAUGUAUUAUGUGAUUCGUUACUCAGCGGAAAGCCAAUAUUUUAUGCCAAAAACAUUUAAAUAUAUGCAACAAGUUAAUUAAGCAAAUGCAUUUGCAGAGUGUUGGAUUUAGAGGAAGUUCUAGCAAUAAAUAAUUAUGAUAAUUUUAUUACAAUAAA